CCUUACCUUUAUCCAAAUAAAUUUAGGAAUAUUUUAACUUUUGGGCACAAUGAGAGUACAAAUGAUAUUUAGUUCCUUGUGCAUUAGAUCACAUACAAUAAGAAUAAGAUGAUUGUUUAUACCAUAUGCCUUAACUAUAUGAUAUUAUAUCUUUCUUAUAUUUGCAUUAGGGUUGGAUGCUCAAGAAUUGUUUGAUGCUUCUCACUUUAAAUCUUGGCCAAGGAACAUUGCUCUACCUAUAAGUGUUAAAAUCAAGGAUCACCAACAUCAAUGGAAGAAAUUAAACUUACCUCAAAGCAUAAGGUCAAUUGUUUGUCUUAACAUGCCUAGCUUCCCUGGUGGACUAGACCCUUGGGGCAAGCCAAAUUUUAGGAGAAAAAAAGAGAGAAACUUUACAUCAUCUUUUGUAGAUGAUGAACUUCUUGAGAUAAUUGGAUUUAGAGAUUCAUGGCAUGGGGAAAAUUUUCUUCCUUUAAAUGACCAUGGGACUCGUCUUGCACAGGCACACCAAAUUCGCUUUGAGCUUCACAAAGGGGUAGCUAAGCAUAUUGACAUGAAUUUUGAUGGGACAAGAUGGAAACAACCUACCCCUAUUGGUGAUGACAACUUCCUGAUUGAAAUCUCUUAUUCAUGUAAAACCAAAAUGCUUGCAACUUCAGCUUCAAAAUGCAAACACAAAUCUAAGUCCUACUCCAAUUAAAUCUUUUCAACAGGGUUGAAAUCUUCAGUGAGGUUUUCAUGCUAAACCUUUAUAUGAGGAUAACAUGAUAAAAACUUUAUAUGUAUAUAUAUAAAGCCAAAAAUAUUUGAUGGGUGGAUAUUGAUGAAAUUAUAUUUCAUUUAAAUU